UUACUCAGGUUUACCGUUAAUGAUGACAUGGUUUGAUAUUCUUAUGCUAUUUGGACUCAAUUGCAUGUUGCUUCCAUGUGAAGGAGUUGUCUAUCCACCAUCUAGUGGAAAAAACCUGAUUUUUCUACCUGGAUCAAAUGCAAAAAUUGAGUGGACAUUUGAUGAUAAAAUAACUAGUGAUGAUUUUCGAAUUUGGAGUUUCACAAGUACGGACGGUUCCUUUAAUUCAAGAAUCCUUGCUUUUAUACGGGGUAAUGGUAACGCUACGAUACGCGUCAGCUUCCCUGUGAUUUCAAUAGAAAAGCCAGCAACAUUAGUUUUAAGGAACGUUGAUCGCCGUUAUGAUGGAAAAUACAGGCUCAGAGUUAGUGCGGUUACGGAAACUAAUUCUGAGGUUAUCGUGAUUAUUGCAGUUGCACCAAAUAUAACAUUCAGUUGUUUCAAUUCAAGUACGGUAAACGAAGGUGAAAAUUUCACAUGUGUAUGUAAAGGAGAAGGUGGCAGGCCGACUGCUAAUGUUACUUGGUAUGAUAAAAAUGGCGUCCAGAUUGGUGUGACAGGAAGAGGAAAACAGUUAUUGACACUAACUAAUGUCGAUAAAACCCACAGUGGAACUUACACGUGCAAAGCUCAAAGCCAUAUCAAUGCAACAGAUAAAAAUUCAAUUGAAAUAAGAAUUAGACUUAUCUUCAGGAAACCAGGAAAAACAAAAAUUAAAUUUACUCCAGAAAAAGUUGUACUUGGUCGAUCAAUAAACAUAACGUGUGAAUCAGAUGGUCAUCCUGAACCAAGUUAUAUCAUAACUCAUAAUGACACAGAGGUCAGCAAUGGGAAAACGUUCACCAUACAUGAUGUAAACUACACUCACGCUGGAAAAUACAAAUGCUUUGCAAAGAAUGAAUUUGGAAAUGACUCUGCCUCUGAUUUCUUAGUCCUAAUCGAACCCGAGCCAGUACGAUCAUCAACAAAUCUGCCAACGACAAAUCAGACGAGCUUGCAGACGAAUCCUGUGACUGCGACUACGCCUCAAGCAGGUGAUGGAUCAGGGAAAAUUUACGAGAAAUGCAAUGGUGAAGUUAGUACUAAAUGGUAUAUCAUUGUUGUGACUUUGGUGUCUGGAAUUAUCAUUGGAGUUCUCUCAUAUGUUGCCGUGUGUUUUCGUCGAAAGUUCAAAAGUAGAAAACCUUCUUCGAACUCUGAACCUCCAACAACUGAACUUGAUCCAAAUUAUCGAGAACUGGACCUUACCAGAAUGAACACAGAAGAUAAUUAUCAAUCACUGAGAGGGGAUGUUGCAAGAAACGACGGUGUUAUUAGCGAUGAAUCAAAUUAUACCGCGUUGGCCGAAGUCAGGGAUGUCGAGAGCAAUUAUCAACCUUUAACUUGAAUCAACAGUUGGCUAGUUCCCUACUCUUUUUUUAAAGAGGAACAAGAAAGAUACAAUUUAUUGGUUUCUUCUUAACUUCCAUAAGAAAGGUCGAUCAUGUUUUUAUCUUUAAACAACUUUUAAUGAUGCUUUUUGGUGCUAUGCGUGAAGGGUUUGAAAUAUUUAGCAGCUACAGCAGACUAAAAGAGUAGCUUUUUCGCUUUUUCUAUUCAUAUUAUUCCCGGAAUAUGAAAUAUCUCGCGCAAGUGUCUUGUCAAGCGCCACAUUUUCAUAAGUAACGCCAAAUCUCAAUAUGCAAAUAAUAAACUGGUCUAAUCAAAUUUUCCGGCCCCGUUUUUGACACCAGCUGAUUUGAACGGACGAUUUUUAAAAUCUGCAAAGAGGGAUUUUGAAUUGCUAUCGUUUAACAGACAGCCUUAAAAUAGUUCGAACAGUGCGCGUAAAAUAUGUCUAAUUUGCAAUAUUGUUCUAAGUAGAAGGAAUUACAAAACACUAUUCAAGGAAUUCUGGACUUGUGUAUGUUCACUUACCAUGCAGAAAAUAAUAUGGUUAUCAACGAGGAAGUAAAACAAGGAUCAAACUAGUUGGAGCCUAGCUAGCUUGACCAGUUCUCACUUCUUGUCUAAACAAAUGUAGUUGCCGUAUAAGAGGAGCAGUAAGUCCACCAGUUGAUGCUGUUGAUGGGAACAAAUUUAUUUUAUUACCUGGAUCAACUGUGAGCA
rnacentral:misc_RNA from 1 species